AAUGGUUCACGAACUAAACAUCACAACCACAUCUUUAAAAUAUGUCCGUGAGCACUACCACAUUCGUGCUACUGUCGGUGUAAUGCUUAGUUAGUUAACCAAUGGUAGGAGGCGCUAGUGACAUCACAACACAUGUGUAGCCUGUGCAGGUAUUGUGCAAGUAAGAUGAGGCAAGAGAACAGAAAACGUCACUUUACCAUUCUAGAUUUCAACCAUGUGUGAACGAUUGGGGUUAUCAAGACUCCAGUCACAUUGCGGGGAUGACUAGGAACACCAGGAUUUCAACGUGAGGGUCAACAAUAGAAUUAUAAUAGAGUUUGAAUGUAUUUUGAUAUAUAUUUCUAUGUUUAUAGAACGUACGUUCAUGUAUCAUAUAUUGUUGCUCAUAAUAAAAAAAAUUUUUGCACAAA